rnacentral:lncRNA from 1 species
CAGGGCGCGACGCAGAUUAAGGAAUUCCAGGUAUGUUUUCUGUUAAGAUCUUUGUGUAUGUCUAAUGUUGUCUUUUCUUUUUUUCUGGCAGGGCGCGACGCAGAUUGGAGAUUCGCAGGUAUGUUUUCUGUUAAGACCUUUGUGUAUGUCUAAAGUUGCUUUUCUUUUUUUCUAGCAGGGCGCGACGCAGAUUGAGGAUUCCAGGUAUGUUUUCUGUUAAGACCUUUGUGUAUGUCUAAUGGUUUCUUUUUUUUUUCCUUUAGGUCGUGUGGCCUUUUUUUUUUUUUGCAGGGCGCGCGACGCAGAUUGAGGAUUCCAGGUAUGUUUUUCUGUUAAGACCUUUGUGUAUGUCUAAUGUGCGCCUUUUCUUUUUUUCUAGCAGGGCGCGACGCAGAUUGAGGAUUCCAGGUAUGUUUUCUGUUAAGACCUUUGUGUAUGUCUAAUGUUGUCUUUUCUUUUUUUCUAGCAGGUCGCGACGCAGAUUGAGGAAUUCCAGGUAUGUUUUCUGUUAAGACCUUUGUGUAUGUCUAAUGUUGUCUUUUCUUUUUUUUCUAGCAGGGCGCGACGCAGAUUGAGGAUUUUCAGGUAUGUUUUCUGUUAAGACCUUUGUGAAUGUCUAAUUUCGCCUUUUCUUUUUUUCUAGCAGGGCGUGACGCAGAUUGAGGAUUUUCAGGUAUGUUUUCUGUUAAGACCUUUGUGUAUGUCUAAUGUUGCCUUUUCUUUUUUUCUAGCAGGGCGCGACGCAGAUUGAGGAUUUCAGGUAUGUUUUCUGUUAAGACCUUUGUGUAUGUCUAAUGGUUCUUUUUUUUUCCUUUAGGUCGUGUGGCCUUUUUUUUUUUUUUAGCAGGGCGUGACGCAGAUUGAGGAUUCCCAGGUAUGUUUUCUGUUAAGACCUUUGUGUAUGUCUAAUGUUGUCUUUUCUUUUUUUUCUGGCAGGGCGCAUCGCAGAUUGGAGAUUUUCCAGGUAUGUUUUCUGUUAAGACCUUUGUGUAUGUCUAAUGUUGCGCCUUUUUCUUUUUUUCUAGCAGGGCGCGACGCAGAUUGAGGAUUCCCAGGUAUGUUUUCUGUUAAGACCUUUGUGUAUGUCUAAUGUUCGCCUUUUCUUUUUUUCUAGCAGGGCGCGACGCAGAUUGAGGAUUCCAGGUAUGUUUUCUGUUAAGACCUUUGUGUAUGUCUAAUUUCGCCUUUUCUUUUUUUCUAGCAGGGCGCGACGCAGAUUGAGGAUUCCCAGGUAUGUUUUCUGUUAAGACCUUUGUGUAUGUCUAAUGUUGUCUUUUCUUUUUUUCUAGCAGGGCGCGACACAGAUUGAGGAUUUAGGUAUGUUUUCUGUUAAGACCUUUGUGUAUGUCUAAUGGUUCCUUUUUUUUUCCUUUAGGUCGUGUGGACUUUUUUUUUUUUUUGCAGGGCGCGACGCAGAUUGAGGAUUUAGGUAUGUUUUCUGUUAAGACCUUUGUGUAUGUCUAAUGUUGUCUUUUCUUUUUUUCUAGCAGGGCGCGACACAGAUUGAGGAUUUUCAGGUAUGUUUUCUGUUAAGACCUUUGUGUAUGUCUAAUGUUGCCUUUUCUUUUUUUCUAGCAGGGUGCGUUGCAGAUUGAAGAUUUUCAGGUAUGUUUUCUGUUAAGGCCUUUGUGUUUGUCUAAUGGUUCCUUUUUUUUUCCUUUAGGUCGUGUGGCCUAUGCUACAUUUGCUGGUAUGUUUUUUGUUAAGGCCUAUGUGUAUGUUUAAUGUUGCCUUUUCUUUUUUUCUGGAAGAGCACGACGCAGAUUGAAGAUUCGCAGGUAUGUUUUCUGUUAAGACCUUUGUGUAUGUCUAAUGUUGUGUUUUCUUUUUUUCUAGCAGGGCGCGACGCAGAUUGAGGAUUUCAGGUAUGUUUUCUGUUAAGACCUUUGUGUAUGUCUAAUGUUGUCUUUUCUUUUUUUCUAGCAGGGCGCGACGCAGAUUGAGGAAUUCCAGGUAUGUUUUCUGUUAAGACCUUUGUGUAUGUCUAAUGUUGCCUUUUCUUUUUUUCUGGCAGGGCGCGACGCAGAUUGAGAUUCGCAGGUAUGUUUUCUGUUAAGACCUUUGUGUAUGUCUAAUGGUUCUUUUUUUUUUCCUUUAGGUCGUGUGGCCUUUUUUUUUUUGCAGGGCGCGACGCAGAUUGAGGAUUUUCCAGGUAUGUUUUCUGUUAAGACCUUUGUGUAUGUCUAAUGUUGCCUUUUCUUUUUUUCUGGCAGGGCGCGACGCAGAUUGAGGAUUUUCAGGUAUGUUAUCUGUUAAGACCUUGGUGUACGUCUAAUGUUGCCUUUUCUUUUUUUCUGGCAGGGCGCGACACAGAUUGGAGAUUCGCAGGUAUGUUUUCCGUUAAGGCCUUUGUGUAUGUCUAAUGUCGCCUUUUCCUUUUUUCUAGCAGGGCGAGACGCAGAUUGAGGAUUUUCAGGUAUGUUUUCUGGUAAGGCCUUUGUGUAUGUCUAAUGUCGCCUUUUCUUUUUUUCUAGCAGGGCGCGACGCAGAUUGAGGAUUUUCAGGUAUGUUUUCUGUUAAGACCUUUGUGUAUGUUUAAUGUUGCCUUUUCUUUUUUUCUGGCAGGGCACGACGCAGAUUGAGGAUUUUCAGGUAUGUUUUCUGUUAAGGUUUUUGUGUAUGUCUAAUGUCGCCUUUUCUUUUUCUGGCAGGGCGCGACGCAGAUUAAGGAAUUCCCAGGUAUGUUUUCUGUUAAGACCUUUGUGUAUGUCUAAUGUUGUCCUUUUCUUUUUUUCUAGCAGGGCGCGACGCAGAUUGAGAUUCCAGGUAUGUUUUCUGUUAAGGCCUUUGUGUAUGUCUAAUGUCGCCUUUUCUUUUUUUCUAGCAGGGCGCGACGCAGAUUGAGGAAUUCAGGUAUGUUUUCUGUUAAGACCUUUGUGUAUGUCUAAUGGUUCUUUUUUUUUCCUUUAGGUCGUGUGGCCUUUUUUUUUUGCAGGGCGCGACGCAGAUUGAGGAUUCCCAGGUAUGUUUUCUGUUAAGACCUUUGUGUAUGUCUAAUUGUCGCCUUUUCUUUUUUUCUGGAAGAGGGCGCGACGCAGAUUGAGGAUUCAGGUAUGUUUUCUGUUAAGACCUUUGUGUAUGUCUAAUGUUCGCCUUUUCUUUUUUUCUAGCAGGGCGCGACGCAGAUUGAGGAUUCCCAGGUAUGUUUUCUGUUAAGACCUUUGUGUAUGUCUAAUGUUGUCUUUUCUUUUUUUUCUGGCAGGGCGCGACGCAGAUUGAGAUUCAGGUAUGUUUUCUGUUAAGACCUUUGUGUAUGUCUAAUGUUGCGCCUUUUCUUUUUUUCUAGCAGGGCGCGACGCAGAUUGAGGAUUCCCAGGUAUGUUUUCUGUUAAGACCUUUGUGUAUGUCUAAUGGUUCUUUUUUUUUUUCCUUUAGGUCGUGUGGCCUUUUUUUUUUUGCAGGGCGCGACGCAGAUUGAGGAUUUUCAGGUAUGUUUUCUGUUAAGACCUUUGUGUAUGUCUAAUGUCGCCUUUUCUUUUUUUUUCUGGCAGGGCGCGACGCAGAUUGAGGAUUCCCAGGUAUGUUUUCUGUUAAGACCUUUGUGUAUGUCUAAUGUUGUCUUUUCUUUUUUUCUAGCAGGGCGCGACGCAGAUUGAGGAUUCCCAGGUAUGUUUUCUGUUAAGACCUUUGUGUAUGUCUAAUGUUGUCUUUUCUUUUUUUUCUGGCAGGGCGCGACGCAGAUUGAGGAUUCCAGGUAUGUUUUUCUGUUAAGACCUUUGUGUAUGUCUAAUGUUGCGCCUUUUCUUUUUUUCUAGCAGGGCGCGACGCAGAUUGAGGAUUCCCAGGUAUGUUUUCUGUUAAGACCUUUGUGUAUGUCUAAUGUUGCGCCUUUUUCUUUUUUUCUAGCAGGGCGCGACGCAGAUUGAGGAUUUUCAGGUAUGUUUUCUGUUAAGACCUUUGUGAAUGUCUAAUUUCGCCUUUUCUUUUUUUCUAGCAGGGCGUGACGCAGAUUGAGGAUUUUCAGGUAUGUUUUCUGUUAAGACCUUUGUGUAUGUCUAAUGUUGCCUUUUCUUUUUUUCUAGCAGGGCGCGACACAGAUUGAGGAUUUAGGUAUGUUUUCUGUUAAGACCUUUGUGUAUGUCUAAUGGUUCCUUUUUUUUUCCUUUAGGUCGUGUGGACUUUUUUUUUUUUUUGCAGGGCGCGACGCAGAUUGAGGAUUUUCAGCUAUGUUUUCUGUUAAUACCUUUGUGAAUGUCUAAUUUCGCCUUUUCUUUUUUUCUAGCAGGGCGUGACGCAGAUUGAGGAUUUUCAGGUAUGUUUUCUGUUAAGACCUUUGUGUAUGUCUAAUGUUGCCUUUUCUUUUUUUCUAGCAGGGCGCGACGCAGAUUGAGGAUUUAGGUAUGUUUUCUGUUAAGACCUUUGUGUAUGUCUAAUUUCGCCUUUUCUUUUUUUCAAGCAGGGCGCAACGCAGAUUGAGGAUUCUCAGGUAUGUUUUCUGUUAAGACCUUUGUGUAUGUCUAAUGUCGCCUUUUCUUUUUUUCUAGCAGGUCGCGACGCAGAUUGAGGUAUUCCAGGUAUGUUUUCUGUUAAGACCUUUGUGUAUGUCUAAUGGUUCUUUUUUUUUCCUUUAGGUCUGUGGCCUUUUUUUUUUUUGCAGGGCGCGACGCAGAUUGAGGAUUCCCAGGUAUGUUUUCUGUUAAGACCUUUGUGUAUGUCUAAUUUCGCCUUUUCUUUUUUUUUAGCAGGGCACGAUGCAGAUUGAGGAUUCCCAGGUAUGUUUUCUGUUAAGACCUGUGUGUAUGUCUAAUGUUGUCUUUUCCUUUUUUUCUGGCAGAUUGAGGAUUCCCAGGUAUGUUUUCUGUUAAGACCUUUGUGUAUGUCUAAUGUUGUCUUUUUCUUUUUUUCUAGCAGGGCGCGACGCAGAUUGAGGAUUCCCAGGUAUGUUUUCUGUUAAGACCUUUGUGUAUGUCUAAUGUUGUCUUUUCUUUUUUUCUAGCAGGGCGCGACGCAGAUUGAGGAAUUCCAGGUAUGUUUUCUGUUAAGACCUUUGUGUAUGUCUAAUGUUGCGCCUUUUCUUUUUUUUCUAGCAGGGCGCGACGCAGAUUGAGGAUUCCCAGGUAUGUUUUCUGUUAAGACCUUUGUGUAUGUCUAAUGGUUCUUUUUUUUUUCCUUUAGGUCGUGUGGCCUUUUUUUUUUUUGCAGGGCGCGACGCAGAUUGAGGAUUCCCAGGUAUGUUUUCUGUUAAGACCUUUGUGUAUGUCUAAUG